GAUCGUUGGGUAGAGGAAACAAACAAAAAAUCUGAUUUUGGAACUAAGUCUCGCUCUCGGUAACAUUUACCUUUUUAGGUAAAUAAUCAUUCAAAUUUAUAGAAUAACUGAAAUGUGAAGUUUUAAUACUGCUGUUAUGACAGAUUGCGCAUCACUAAAAGUCUUGACGAAUCACCAAGAACUGAUAUUUUUAGGAUUCUAAGUGUAGAGGCUUCAGAAUUAAUGUAUGAAUAUCCUUACAGUUUACAUGUGUUGAAUGUGCUGAGCCUGCAAACCCCAUUGUUGAGGAAUGUACAUGUGGUAAAUCAACGAGCCAUGGAAGCUUCGUUAACUUGUGGACGGUACAGGCUUUGGACAAGGACAAGGUAUGAACAUGUGAACUUUGCAUUGCUGUCGGUGACCUAGUUUCAUCAGUUUGCCUGUUCACAGAAAAGUAGGCUGUGCUGCAAGGCAAGCAAGGUUGUGUUGUGCUGCGUGAUGUGGAUGUGACAAGCCUAAGAAUCGAACGGUCUGCAGUUUACAUAGUAUGGAUGAGCAUUGCAGCAUGCCAUUGCCAGGGAAACAAGCUUAACCCCUAUCUGCCAGGUCACGCCUACAGCUGUCAUAACACUCAUGCCGGGUACGGCUAUAGGUGUAGUACCGCACUAGAGCGCGGCGGUCAGAAAAUCCCUGGAUGGUUGGCAGAAGUCACUCGAGUCGGUGACACUGAGAGAUUUUGAUGCCGUUAUUGAAAGGUUAACAGUAUACUAGUCUGACAUGCCUACGAAGGACUAAGUGGCUGUGCUGGAGAGCAAGCAAGAGUACAUCAGCUUGAUGAGCAGUAGAGCCUGCAAACCUCCAGUUGUCCAGGGCCUCUACAUAAAAUCCAAGCAUUGUAAACCUCCAUAAACCCAUGCAUAUUGUGCAGACUUCAGUUAUGGACUUGCAUUGCAGUAUUGUCAGUGAAAUAAGCUCCCAUGUGUAUCUAGACUGACAUGCCUACAAAUGACCAUAAAGGUUUAUGCUGGAAGGCAAGCAAGAGUACAUCAGCUUGAUGAGCAGUAGAGCCUGCAAACCUCCAGUUGUCCAGGGCCUCUACAUAAAAUCCAAGCAUUGUAAACCUCCAUAAACCCAUGCAUAUUGUGCAGACUUCAGUUAUGGACUUGCAUUGCAGUAUUGUCAGUGAAAUAAGCUCCCAUGUGUAUCUAGACUGACAUGCCUACAAAUGACUGUAAAGGAUUAUGCUGGAAGGCAAGCAAGGUUACAUCUAUUGGUUAAAUAUGCUGUUGGAUGUGGGAACAUCCUGUUGCAGGAGGAAUGCACUAAUGGCAUAGCCACAAGGCAUUGUAAUCUUUCUGCAAGUUUUGGCAACGAAUGAAUGAGCAUUGCAGUUGAAUUAAGAUCACUGGUGUACCUUGACUGAUAUCCUAACAAAGACAGAAGGCAGUGCUGCAUAGUCACAGGAUCCAUAUAACAUGCGUUGUGGAGCCUUUGUCAAGGGAUGCGUUUGGCAAAACGUGAGCCACUGUGAAUGUUCGUCUAGUGAUUUGGUCACUUCUCCAAUCAUUAGAAAAGCCUAAGGAGUCGGAGGAGAGCUCAGACAAAAGGCUUUGUUAGCUGCACCAGCAUCUUUGCUGCAACAUUCGUGGAGAAUAACCAGCCAUGUAACCUAUGGAGGUGGCACGUGGCCUGGGUUCAUGCUCUCCAUUCUCCUUAUUACUUGCUUGUAUUAUAGUUUUGAAAUGUGGCCAUCAGCCAUUCCUCGUAUAUUAUGGUGAGGUGCAAGAAAUUGACAAUUUUUGUGUAGAUUUAUAAUAAAUAUUGUAUUGUA